UACGGAGGAUCCAAGCGUUAACCGGAUUUAUUGGGUUUAAAGGGUGCGUAGGUGGCCUGUUAAGUCAGGGGUGAAAGACGGUAGCUUAACUAUCGCAGUGCCCUUGAUACUGAUGGGCUUGAAUGAACUAGAGGUAGGCGGAAUGUGACAAGUAGCGGUGAAAUGCAUAGAUAUGUCACAGAACACCAAUUGCGAAGGCAGCUUACUAUGGUUUUAUUGACACUGAGGCACGAAAGCGUGGGGAUCAAACAGG
rnacentral:rRNA from 1 species